UGGGGAAUAUUGGCCAAUGGGCGAAAUCCUGAUCCAGCCAUGCCGCGUGUGUGAAGAAGGUCUUCGGAUUGUAAAGCACUUUAAGUUGGGAGGAAGGGCAUUAACCUAAUACGUUAGUGUUUUGACGUUACCGACAGAAUAAGCACCGGCUAACUCUGUGCCAGCAGCCGCGGUAAUACAGAGGGAGCAAGCGUUAAUAGGAAUUACUGGGCGUAAAGCGCGCGUAGGUGGUUUGUUAAGUUGGAUGUGAAAGCCCCGGGCUCAACCUGGGAACUGCAUCCAAAACUGGCAAGCUAGAGUACGGUAGAGGGUGGUGGAAUUUCCUGUGUAGCGGUGAAAUGCGUAGAUAUAGGAAGGAACACCAGUGGCGAAGGCGACCACCUGGACUGAUACUGACACUGAGGUGCGAAAGCGUGGGGAGCAAACA
rnacentral:rRNA from 1 species